rnacentral:tRNA from 1 species
UGCUAGGUGCCUGAAAAAGGAUAAUUUUGAUAGAAUUAACCAUGUGUGAAGCCCCCGCCGCACCCUUGCAA